rnacentral:rRNA from 1 species
AACGAACGCUGGCGGCAUGCCUAACACAUGCAAGUCGAACGAGACCUUCGGGUCUAGUGGCGCACGGGUGCGUAACGCAUGGGAACCUGCCCUUAGGUUCGGAAUAACUCCCCGAAAGGGGUGCUAAUACCGGAUAAUGUCUUCGGACCAAAGAUUUAUCGCCUUUGGAUGGGCCCGCGUUGGAUUAGCUAGUUGGUAGGGUAAAAGCCUACCAAGGCGACGAUCCAUAGCUGGUCUGAGAGGAUGAUCAGCCACACUGGGACUGAGACACGGCCCAGACUCCUACGGGAGGCAGCAGUGGGGAAUAUGGGACAAUGGGCGAAAGCCUGAUCCAGCAAUGCCGCGUGAGUGAUGAAGGCCUUAGGGUUGUAAAGCUCUUUUACCCGGGAUGAUAAGGACAGUACCGGGAGAAUAAACUCCGGCUAACUCCGU